UAACGCGUGGGUAACCUGCCUCAUACAGGGGGAUAACAGUUAGAAAUGACUGCUAAUACCGCAUAAGCGCACAGUAUCACAUGGUACGGUGUGAAAAACUCCAGUGGUAUGAGAUGGACCCGCGUCUGAUUAGCUGGUUGGUGGGGUAACGGCCCACCAAGGCGACGAUCAGUAGCCGACCUGAGAGGGUGAUCGGCCACAUUGGGACUGAGACACGGCCCAAACUCCUACGGGAGGCAGCAGUGGGGAAUAUUGCACAAUGGGGGAAACCCUGAUGCAGCAACGCCGCGUGAGUGAAGAAGUAUUUCGGUAUGUAAAGCUCUAUCAGCAGGGAAGAAAAUGACGGUACCUGACUAAGAAGCCCCGGCUAACUACGUGCCAGCAGCCGCGGUAAUACGUAGGGGGCAAGCGUUAUCCGGAUUUACUGGGUGUAAAGGGAGCGUAGACGGCAGCGCAAGUCUGAAGUGAAAGCCCGGGGCUCAACCCCGGAAUGGCUUUGGAAACUGUGCAGCUAGAGUACCGGAGGGGUAAGCGGAAUUCCUAGUGUAGCGGUGAAAUGCGUAGAUAUUAGGAGGAACACCAGUGACGAAGGCGGCUUACUGGACGGUAACUGACGUUGAGGCUCGAAAGCGUGGGGAGCAAACAGGAUUAGAUACCCUGGUAGUCCACGCGGUAAACGAUGAAUGCUAGGUGU
rnacentral:rRNA from 1 species